GUCCACGCCGUAAACGAUGAGUACUGGGUGUCGCGGGUAGUUGACCCCUGCGGUGCCGUAGCUAACGCGUUAAGUACUCCGCCUGGGGAUUACGGUCGCAAGAUUAAAAACUCAAAGGAAUUGACGGGGGCCCGCACAAGCGGUGGAGCAUGUGGUUUAAUUCGACGCAACGCGAAGAACCUUACCUGGGCUAGACAACGGUGGACCUCCCCCAGAGAUGGGGCUUUCCCUUCGGGGACUGCCGGUUCAGGUGCUGCAUGGCUGUCGU
rnacentral:rRNA from 1 species